rnacentral:rRNA from 1 species
ACUAAGCAUAUCAAUAAGCGGAGGAAAAGAAACCAACAGGGAUUGCCCUAGUAACGGCGAGUGAAGCGGCAACAGCUCAAAUUUGAAAUCUGGCUCUUUCAGAGUCCGAGUUGUAAUUUGCAGAGGGCGCUUUGGCUUUGGCAGCGGUCCAAGUUCCUUGGAACAGGACGUCACAGAGGGUGAGAAUCCCGUACGUGGUCGCUAGCUAUUGCCGUGUAAAGCCCCUUCGACGAGUCGAGUUGUUUGGGAAUGCAGCUCUAAAUGGGAGGUAAAUUUCUUCUAAAGCUAAAUAUUGGCCAGAGACCGAUAGCGCACAAGUAGAGUGAUCGAAAGAUGAAAAGCACUUUGGAAAGAGAGUCAAACAGCACGUGAAAUUGUUGAAAGGGAAGCGCUUGCAGCCAGACUUGCUUGCAGUUGCUCAUCCGGGCUUUUGCCCGGUGCACUCUUCUGCAGGCAGGCCAGCAUCAGUUUGGGCGGUGGGAUAAAGGUCUCUGACACGUUCCUUCCUUCGGGUUGGCCAUAUAGGGGAGACGUCAUACCACCAGCCUGGACUGAGGUCCGCGCAUCUGCUAGGAUGCUGGCGUAAUGGCUGUAAGCGGCCCGUCUUGAAACACGGACCAAGGAGUCUAACAUCUAUGCGAGUGUUUGGGUGUCAAGCCCGAGCGCGUAAUGAAAGUGAACGGAGGUGGGAACCCGCAAGGGCGCACCAUCGACCGAUCCUGAAGUUUACGGAAGGAUUUGAGUAAGAGCAUGGCUGUUGGGACCCGAAAGAUGGUGAACUAUGCUUGAAUAGGGUGAAGCCAGAGGAAACUCUGGUGGAGGCUCGCAGCGGUUCUGACGUGCAAAUCGAUCGUCAAAUUUGGGCAUAGGGGCGAAAGACUAAUCGAACUAUCUAGUAGCUGGUUCCUGCCGAGUU